rnacentral:rRNA from 1 species
UGGGGAAUUUUGGACAAUGGGCGAAAGCCUGAUCCAGCAAUGCCGCGUGAGUGAAGAAGGCCUUCGGGUUGUAAAUCUCUUUUGUCAGGGAAGAAACGGUGAGAGCUAAUAUCUCUUGCUAAUGACGGUACCUGAAGAAUAAGCACCGGCUAACUACGUGCCAGCAGCCGCGGUAAUACGUAGGGUGCAAGCGUUAAUCGGAAUUACUGGGCGUAAAGCGUGCGCAGGCUGUUUUGUAAGUCUGAUGUGAAAUCCCCGGGAUCAACCUGGGAAUUGCAUUGAAGACUGCAAGGCUAGAAUCUAGCAGAAGGAGGUAGAAUUCAGCGUGUAGCAGUGAAAGGCGUAGAUAUGUGGAGGAACACAGAUGGAGAAGGCAGACCCCUGGGUCAAGAUUGACGCUCAUGCAAGAAAGCGUGGAGAGCAAAC